UUUUGUCAGUGAUGAGACCACGGAACUUGCGUCAGGCAUGGCGCCCGACAACUAUGAGGAUAUUUUCCAUGCUGCCUUCCUUCUGAGACUACA
ensembl:snoRNA small nucleolar RNA U83B